rnacentral:rRNA from 1 species
UACGAAGGGAGCUAGCGUUGUUCGGAAUCACUGGGCGUAAAGCGCACGUAGGCGGAUUUGUCAGUCAGGGGUGAAAUCCCGGGGCUCAACCUCGGAACUGCCUUUGAUACUGUCGAUCUGGAGUAUGGAAGAGGUGAGUGGAAUUCCGAGUGUAGAGGUGAAAUUCGUAGAUAUUCGGAGGAACACCAGUGGCGAAGGCGGCUCACUGGUCCAUUACUGACGCUGAGGUGCGAAAGCGUGGGGAGCAAACAGG